AUGGCGGCGGAUCUAGUUGGGCCGGCAAAGGAUUCGCUGGCCGCCGGCAAGGAGUGCCUGUGCCUGCUGAAGCGGUCUUCGGUGGAGAAGCGCGCGCUGAAGCCGGGCACCACCAAAAAAAGGAAGGCGACGGCGACCGGUUCUUCCGCGGUACUGGAAGCUGCUUAUGCGAAGUCGGUUCCAGGGAAAAAAAUGACGCGGCUGCCACAGGCGGACGUCGCUCGGAUCCUUGCCCGUGUGAUCGAUGAUGACCGUGAUGCCCCGUCUGACUUCAAGGCCCUGAAGCUCCAGAACCCUGACUUGAUUCCUUCGCCAGAAGAGGAGAUGGAUGAGGAAAUGGUGGCUUAUUAUGCUGGUGUGCGUGCCUACUAUAAAAUUGGUGAGGACUAUUCCAAAUUUCAGGCCUGGGUACGCAGUGAGUACGCCAAGAAUGGAUACGUCGAGGUUGAUGAUGACUUUCUUGCUAAGAGGGCCCGAGUCCGAGCAGAUAGCGACAGAGCACGGGAGGAUAUGCUCAAAACAAUCGACUUCUCUGACGAUGACGAAGAUCUGAAGAGACUGCUUACAAAUAGAUGGUAUUGA
rnacentral:rRNA from 1 species